rnacentral:rRNA from 1 species
GACGAACGCUGGCGGCGUGCUUAACACAUGCAAGUCGAACGGAAAGGCCCUGCUUUUGUGGGGUGCUCGAGUGGCGAACGGGUGAGUAACACGUGAGUAACCUGCCCUUGACUUUGGGAUAACUUCAGGAAACUGGGGCUAAUACCGGAUAGGAGCUCCUGCUGCAUGGUGGGGGUUGGAAAGUUUCGGCGGUUGGGGAUGGACUCGCGGCUUAUCAGCUUGUUGGUGGGGUAGUGGCUUACCAAGGCUUUGACGGGUAGCCGGCCUGAGAGGGUGACCGGCCACAAUGGGACUGGGGUACGGCCCAGACUCCUACGGGAGGCAGCAGUGGGGAAUAUUGCACAAUGGGCGGAAGCCUGAUGCAGCAACGCCGCGUGCGGGAUGACGGCCUUCGGGUUGUAAACCGCUUUCGCCUGUGACGAAGCGUGAGUGACGGUAAUGGGUAAAGAAGCACCGGCUAACUACGUG